rnacentral:rRNA from 1 species
GUAGGUGGAAGGCGUUGUCCGGAAUUAUUGGGCGUAAAGCGCGCGCAGGCGGUUCUUUAAGUCUGAUGUGAAAGCCCACGGCUCAACCGUGGAGGGUCAUUGGAAACUGGAGAACUUGAGUACAGAAGAGGAAAGCGGAAUUCCACGUGUAGCGGUGAAAUGCGUAGAGAUGUGGAGGAACACCAGUGGCGAAGGCGGCUUUCUGGUCUGUAACUGACGCUGAGGCGCGAAAGCGUGGGGAGCAAACAGGGAUUAGAUACCCUGGUAGUCCACGCCGUAAACGAUGAGUGCUAAGUGUUAGGGGGGUUUCCGCCCCCUUAGUGCUGCAGCUAACGCAUUAAGCACUCCGCCUGGGGAGUACGGCCGCAAGGCUG